GCCUAAUUGAUUGAUGCUCAAACAGGGCCUAUUUUAAGGGAAUUAUUUCCCUAAAAUUCCUCAAUUUUUAGUCAUUUUUUUGACUUAUUUACUUCCAAAGCCACAUAUUGAACAAAUUCUGGAUUUUUUAGUUGUGCUCGACCAUAUGUGAGCCAGUCAAGCAUUU